GCAUAUCAAUAAGCGGAGGAAAAGAAACCAACAGGGAUUGCCUUAGUAACGGCGAGUGAAGCGGCAACAGCUCAAAUUUGAAAGCUGGCUCCUUCGGAGUCCGCAUUGUAAUUUGUAGAGGAUGAUUCGGCGAGGGCUCCCGCCUAAGUCCACUGGAACGUGGCGUCAUAGAGGGUGAGAAUCCCGUAUGCGGUGGGUUGCCUUAGCCAUGUGAAUCUCCUUCGACGAGUCGAGUUGUUUGGGAAUGCAGCUCUAAAUGGGAGGUAAAUUUCUUCUAAAGCUAAAUACCGGCCAGAGACCGAUAGCGCACAAGUAGAGUGAUCGAAAGAUGAAAAGCACUUUGGAAAGAGAGUUAAAAAGUACGUGAAAUUGUUGAAAGGGAAGGGCUUGCAACCAGACUUGUCCGCAGUUGCUCAGCCGGUCUCCUGACCGGCGUACUCUUCUGCGGCCAGGCCAGCAUCAGUUCGGGCGGUCGGAUAAAGACCCGGGGAAUGUAGCUCCUCUCGGGGAGUGUUAUAGCCCUGGGUGGAAUGCGGCCAGCCUGGACUGAGGAUCUCGCUUCGGCAAGGAUGCUGGCGUAAUGGUUGUAAGCCGCCCGUCUUGAAACACGGACC
rnacentral:rRNA from 1 species